rnacentral:rRNA from 1 species
CCUACGGGGGGCAGCAGUGGGGAAUAUUGCACAAUGGGGGAAACCCUGAUGCAGCGACGCCGCGUGAGUGAAGAAGUAUUUCGGUACGUAAAGCUCUAUCAGCAGGGAAGAAAAUGACGGUACCUGACUAAGAAGCCCCGGCUAACUACGUGCCAGCAGCCGCGGUAAUACGUAGGGGGCAAGCGUUAUCCGGAUUUACUGGGGGUAAAGGGAGCGUAGACGGCAGCGCAAGUCUGGAGUGAAAUCCCAUGGCUUAACCAUGGAACUGCUUUGGAAACUGUGCAGCUAGAGUGCAGGAGAGGUAAGCGGAAUUCCUAGUGUAGCGGUGAAAUGCGUAGAUAUUAGGAGGAACACCAGUGGCGAAGGCGGCUUACUGGACUGUAACUGACGUUGAGGCUCGAAAGCGUGGGGAGCAAACAGGAUUAGAUACCCCUGUAGUC